rnacentral:rRNA from 1 species
CCACGCUUGAGGUGAGCAACAAGGCCCCUCCAAGCAGCGGUCAAACGUCAGAAAAAAGAAGCUCGAAAGAGCUUGACUAAAACCGCCAAGGCUCUAUAAUGCGCAGCCUUGCUCGAAACGAGCGAACGUUCUUUAACAAUUUACCAAGCCAAGCAAACUGUGUGGGCACUUCCGAGAAUUCAGUGCAGAGAAAUAGGUGUCUUAGACACCACCUGACUGAUUGAAGAGGUGCUUAACAAACAAAGCUUUAUUAAGUCAUUGAUUCAAUGGGUCGAUUAAACACUUUAAAUUGAAGAGUUUGAUCAUGGCUCAGAUUGAACGCUGGCGGCAGGCCUAACACAUGCAAGUCGAGCGGUAACAGGGAGUAGCUUGCUACUUUGCUGACGAGCGGCGGACGGGUGAGUAAUGCUUGGGAACUUGCCUUUGGGAGGGGGAUAACCGCUGGAAACGGUGGCUAAUACCGCAUGAUGUCUACGGACCAAAGCGGGGGCUCUUCGGACCUCGCGCCCAAAGAUAGGCCCAAGUGAGAUUAGCUAGUUGGUGGGGUAAUGGCUCACCAAGGCGACGAUCUCUAGCUGUUCUGAGAGGAUGAUCAGCCACACUGGGACUGAGACACGGCCCAGACUCCUACGGGAGGCAGCAGUGGGGAAUAUUGGACAAUGGGGGGAACCCUGAUCCAGCCAUGCCGCGUGUGUGAAGAAGGCCCUAGGGUUGUAAAGCACUUUCAGUGGUGAGGAAGGCUUGUUAGCGAAUACCUAACAAGAUUGACGUUAGCCACAGAAGAAGCACCGGCUAACUCCGUGCCAGCAGCCGCGGUAAUACGGAGGGUGCGAGCGUUAAUCGGAAUUACUGGGCGUAAAGCGUACGUAGGCGGCUUAUUAAGCAAGAUGUGAAAGCCCCGGGCUCAACCUGGGAAUGGCAUUUUGAACUGGUAGGCUCGAGUUCUGAAGAGGGUGGUAGAAUUUCCUGUGUAGCGGUGAAAUGCGUAGAUAUAGGAAGGAAUACCGGUGGCGAAGGCGGCCACCUGGUCAGAGACUGACGCUGAGGUACGAAAGCGUGGGGAGCAAACAGGAUUAGAUACCCUGGUAGUCCACGCCGUAAACGAUGUCAACUAG